AACCUGGGAACUGCAUUCGAAACUGGCAGGCUAGAGUCUUGUAGAGGGGGGUAGAAUUCCAGGUGUAGCGGUGAAAUGCGUAGAGAUCUGGAGGAAUACCGGUGGCGAAGGCGGCCCCCUGGACAAAGACUGACGCUCAGGUGCGAAAGCGUGGGGAGCAAACAGGAUUAGAUACCCUGGUAGUCCACGCCGUAAACGAUGUCGAUUUGGAGGUUGUGCCCUUGAGGCGUGGCUUCCGGAGCUAACGCGUUAAAUCGACCGCCUGGGGAGUACGGCCGCAAGGUUAAAACUCAAAUGAAUUGACGGGGGCCCGCACAAGCGGUGGAGCAUGUGGUUUAAUUCGAUGCAACGCGAAGAACCUUACCUGGUCUUGACAUCCACAGAACUUUGCAGAGAUGGUUUGGUGCCUUCGGGAACUGUGAGACAGGUGCUGCAUGGCUGUCGUCAGCUCGUGUUGUGAAAUGUUGGGUUAAGUCCCGCAACGAGCGCAACCCUUAUCCUUUGUUGCCAGCGGUUCGGCCGGGAACUCAAAGGAGACUGCCAGUGAUAAACUGGAGGAAGGUGGGGAUGACGUCAAGUCAUCAUGGCCCUUACGACCAGGGCUACACACGUGCUACAAUGGCAUAUACAAAGAGAAGCGACCUCGCGAGAGCAAGCGGACCUCAUAAAGUAUGUCGUAGUCCGGAUUGGAGUCUGCAACUCGACUCCAUGAAGUCGGAAUCGCUAGUAAUCGUAGAUCAGAAUGCUACGGUGAAUACGUUCCCGGGCCUUGUACACACCGCCCGUCACACCAUGGGAGUGGGUUGCAAAAGAAGUAGGUAGCUUAACCUUCGGGAGGGCGCUUACCACUUUGUGAUUCAUGACUGGGGUGAAGUCGUAACAAGGUAACCGUAGGGGAACCUGCGGUUG
rnacentral:rRNA from 1 species